rnacentral:rRNA from 1 species
UACGGAGGAUCCGAGCGUUAUCCGGAUUUAUUGGGUUUAAAGGGUGCGUAGGUGGAUUGGUAAGUCAGUGGCGAAAGUUUGCAGCUUAACUGUAAAAUUGCCGUUGAAACUGCCGGUCUUGAGUGCAAAUGAGGUAGGCGGAAUGCGUCGUGUAGCGGUGAAAUGCUUAGAUAUGACGCAGAACUCCGAUUGCGAAGGCAGCUUACUGGGAUGCAACUGACGCUGAGGCACGAAAGCGUGGGUAUCAAACAGGAUUAGAUACCCGU